rnacentral:rRNA from 1 species
GGGAGCGGGUUACGAUGUCGACUUGGAGGUUGUUCCCUUGAGGAGUGGCUUCCGGAGCUAACGCGUUAAGUCGACCGCCUGGGGAGUACGGCCGCAAGGUUAAAACUCAAAUGAAUUGACGGGGGCCCGCACAAGCGGUGGAGCAUGUGGUUUAAUUCGAUGCAACGCGAAGAACCUUACCUACUCUUGACAUCCACGGAACUUUUCAGAGAUGAAUUGGUGCCUUCGGGAACCGUGAGACAGGUGCUGCAUGGCUGUCGUCAGCUCGUGUUGUGAAAUGUUGGGUUAAGUCCCGCAACGAGCGCAACCCUUAUCCUUUGUUGCCAGCGGUUCGGCCGGGAACUCAAAGGAGACUGCCAGUGAUAAACUGGAGGAAGGUGGGGAUGACGUCAAGUCAUCAUGGCCCUUACGAGUAGGGCUACACACGUGCUACAAUGGCAUAUACAAAGAGAAGCGACCUCGCGAGAGCAAGCGGACCUCAUAAAGUAUGUCGUAGUCCGGAUUGGAGUCUGCAACUCGACUCCAUGAAGUCGGAAUCGCUAGUAAUCGUAGAUCAGAAUGCUACGGUGAAUACGUUCCCGGGCCUUGUACACACCGCCCGUCACACCAUGGGAGUGGGUUGCAAAAGAAGUAGGUAGCUUAACCUUCGGGAGGGCGCUUACCACUUUGUGAUUCAUGACUGGGGUGAAGUCGUAACAAGGUAACCAAUAG